GGAAUAACAGAGACUUGGUGGGAUAACUCACAUGACUGGAAUAUUGGUAUUUAAGCUGUCAAAACCAUAGGGGUAGCCUAGAUUCCUCCUUACCUGUAGGGGGUUAAGAAGCUCAAGUAACCUGGUUGGCACCUGACCAAAGGAACCAAUGGGGACAAAAGAUACUUUCAAAUCGGGUGGGGAGAGGUUUUGUUUUGGGUUCUU